ensembl:lncRNA THRB-AS1 THRB antisense RNA 1
GAGGCCCUGGGCGGGAACUAGUAAGCCACAAUCUGGAAGAGUCUUUUACCACCAUGUGGAGGAGAACUAGAGCACUCAUGUUGAACUAUUACCGAGAAAAGUAAUCAACUUCUUUUGUGUUAAGUCACUGAAAGAGCGCUGCCCUCAGCUGAAAUGAGAGCCAUCUCAACAGAAAGCUUAAAUUCCCCCCAUCCUUAGCCCAUGGUCCGUGACACACUGUUGUGGUGUUAUAAAUGAGCAGCUCCCUUUGCCUCAAGAUGGAAUUAACUCUGCGUUGCAAUUCAUGCUCCGGUGCCCUCUGUGGAAUUAGGCUGAAGCUGGACUUCAGCCAAGACUGCAUCCUUGCUUAGUUCAUUUUCUUGCCUUAUUCUACUUUCCUGGAUUGCCUUCUCCUGAGAGCACCUACUCCGCCAGUAAAUCACAAGUACCUCCGUCUCUCCUUACAAGCAAUUGGAGCUAAGAUGGAUUGAACUGGAAAGGCUAGAUGCUCCCAAGAAUACAAAGAUAAAGAAGAUUGCCUGCAGUUGCCCAGAUGCCUGGAAAGUCUUUAAGGCAAAGAACUGGGUAAGAAGAGUUUAUUAUACAUUCCUGAGCAGCAUUGUCAGCGAGUCAAGAUACCUCUCUGCAUUCCAGAGAACUUGUCCUGAUCCUCGCAAUCAGAGCUGUCUUGGAACAGAUGUCACCUCCUCUGGUCUUUCCUGACCCACCGGCUCAUUCAUAUCUCCUACUCAGCCAAGAAAAUAGGUGUCUAGCUAUAGAAAAUAGUCUGAUUUCCUGCCCAGAAACUGUUUCGGGUGAAAAAAAGCAAAUGAAAAGGAAGUAAAAGGAGAGAGUUAGAGUAUAUUACAUUUCUUGAAUACCUGCAACCUACUUUUCCAAUCACUUUUAAACCAGAGUUCUUUUUACAGCUUUCAGAGCUGAGCCCGUUAGUUGAAGCUCCGCCGAGAGAAGCCAGCAGAGGGCAGCAAAGGGCAGUUGGGCCUGCCGCACCGCUGAUUCCCAGGUCUAGGGGCCAUGUUACUUAGCAGGGAAGCUUCCCUCUACACCAGUAGUUCUCAUUUUGCUGCAUGUCAGAACCUCCAGAAGAGCUUUAAAAAUCUCCUGAUGUCCAUGUUUCAGUCCAAAGCAAUUAAAUCAGAAUAGAAGGAGGUAGAGGUUAUAUGGAGGGGCUAUUGGGGCAUGUCUCAGUCCAUUAGAAGCCCAAAGAAACUUGGGAUUUGGGGAAGGACUUGGAUGAAGAUAAAUAAAGGGCAGCCAGGCUCUUUAUUCAGAUUAUAUCCACCAUCCUAGAGAAGAGGGCCUGACAUUUUUAAAUCGUGACCGAACUGGAAGAGAUUUGUAGUACUUUGAAGGUUGCCCUUCAAACGCAUUGGAAUCGUUGGCAUUGCUAAGUGAGGUGAUAUUCAACAGGGCUAUUUGAUGAGAUAUGACAGAUGCAAAACGAAAGUAGAUUAAUUUAGUAAGAGUAUAAAAGAAAACGAAUGUCACCCAUCAAACAGGCAAAGGCAGGAGGUGAAAAGGAGCAGGAGAAAGACCUACCCAGGAGCCCUAUGCGAGAGGCCACGCCCAUCCUGCCCACUGAUUGGGCCGAGGCACACCUUUGGUGUAUAGCUGGCUCUCAGGCAGGAGGAAGGUUAUCUGAAGAAGGUUCAAAGAAGUGUUUAUGUGGCUGGAAGUCUAAAAAGAAAUGAAGUGAUAGAGGUUUACAAAGAUGUUUGUGGAAGGAGAAUUUACAGAUUGUAGAUGAUGGAGAAAGAAGAAAUUCUGACUCCACUCGCUACACCUUCAGCUCUUGAGAAAACUGAGUAUGGACUGGGUGAGUUGAACAUAUAGUAUAUGAAGAAAGAUAAUUUUGACAAUUGAAUCUGUUUGUUUGAAGUGUGACUGUUAAACCUGAGCGAGUGGUUUGAGAUGGAGGUGUUAAGACUCUGCUUGUCAACUCUAUGAAGAAAAUUAAAUGUUGUACUGUGACCCAAAUUAUAUUGGACAUUU